rnacentral:rRNA from 1 species
GACGGGUGAGUAAUGUCUGGGAAACUGCCUGAUGGAGGGGGAUAACUACUGGAAACGGUAGCUAAUACCGCAUAACGUCGCAAGACCAAAGAGGGGGACCUUCGGGCCUCUUGCCAUCGGAUGUGCCCAGAUGGGAUUAGCUAGUAGGUGGGGUAACGGCUCACCUAGGCGACGAUCCCUAGCUGGUCUGAGAGGAUGACCAGCCACACUGGAACUGAGACACGGUCCAGACUCCUACGGGAGGCAGCAGUGGGGAAUAUUGCACAAUGGGCGCAAGCCUGAUGCAGCCAUGCCGCGUGUAUGAAGAAGGCCUUCGGGUUGUAAAGUACUUUCAGCGGGGAGGAA